rnacentral:rRNA from 1 species
UGAGUACGAGAUGCUACGGCAUCGAAGCAGUCUAUGUCAUACUUCCAAGAAAAGCUUGCAAUGUCAUAAACAAAUAAUGCCUGUACCAUAACCGACACAGGUGGGUAGGUAGAGUAUACUAAGGGGCGCGAGAUAACUCUCUCUAAGGAACUCGGCAAAAUGACUCCGUAACUUCGGGAGAAGGAGUGCCUUAUUUUUAUAAGGUUGCAAUAACAAGAUCCAAGCAACUGGUUACCAAAAACACAGGUCUCCGCUAAGUCGUAAGACGAUGUAUGGGGGCUGACGCCUGCCCAGUGCCAGAAGGUUAAAGAAGUUGGUUAGCAUUAGCGAAGCUGAUAACUGAAGCCCUGGUGAACGGCGGCCGUAACAAUAACGGUCCUAAGGUAGCGAAAUUCCUUGUCGGGUAAGUUCCGACCCGCACGAAAGGCGUAAUGAUUUGGAUACUGUCUCGGAGAGGGGCUCGGUGAAAUAGACUUGUCUGUGAAGAUGCGGACUACCUGCACCUGGACAGAAAGACCCUAUGAAGCUUUACUGUAACUUGAGAUUGAAAUUGGACUUUAUCUGCGCAGUAUAGGUGGGAGACGUUGAAAAUAUUCUUGCGGGAAUAUUGGAGUCAUCAGUGAGAUACCACUCUUAUAAUGUUAGAUUUCUAACUUUGUAUCAUUAUCUGGUCAAAGAACAGUUUCAGGCGGGCAGUUUGACUGGGGCGGUCGCCUCCCAAACGGUAACGGAGGCGCACAAAGGUUUCCUCUGAACGUGUAGAAAUCGUAUCUAGAGUGUAAAGGCAUAAGGAAGCUUGACUGUGAGACCUACAAGUCGAGCAGGGACGAAAGUCGGUCUUAGUGAUCUGACGGUGCUGAGUGGAAAGGCCGUCACUCAACGGAUAAAAGUUACUCUAAGGAUAACAGGCUGAUCUCCCCCAAGAGUUCACAUCGACGGGGAGGUUUGGCACCUCGAUGUCGGCUCAUCGCAUCCUGGGGCGGUAGUACGUCCCAAGGGUUGGGCUGUUCGCCCAUGAAAGCGGUACGCGAGCUGGGUUCAGAACGUCGUGAGACAGUUCGGUCCAUAUCCGGUGUAGGCGUUAGAAUAUUGAGAGGAGCCUUCUUUAGUACGAGAGGACCGAGAAGGACAUACCUCUGGUGUACCAGUUAUCGUGCCAACGGUAAACGCUGGGUAGCCAUGUAUGGAGAGGAUAACCGCUGAAAGCAUCUAAGUGGGAAGCCCACCUCAAGAUAAG